GCAUUGUGUCUACUAUGUUUUCGGUGGAUAGUUUUAUAUAUAGCUUUUCCUCUACGGUUUGACGUUCUAAGUUCCAUCUAGGGCAGUAUAUAAUAGUGUGUUCAGCGUCAUCUUUCUCGCCGCAAUAAAUGCAUUCAUCAUCUCUGCUUCGCUCUCUUUCGUAGAGGUAUUUUCUAAAACUGCCAUGUCCCGUCAGAAAUUGCGUUAAAUAGUAAUUCAAGGCACCAUGUUUUCUUAGAAACCAUUUCCUUAUAUCUUUUAUUAGAUAUGUUGACCAGCUUUUAGAUGCACUCCAUUCGCUCUGCCAUUUUUCUAGCAUGAGGUUUCUACUUUCUUCUUUUGUUUUGCCGUUGAAAAUUUGUCGUCUUUCCUGUGUUAGUAGGUGAAUAGGAGGUAAGCCGCUUAUGGCUAAAAUCGAAUCUGUAGCAACAGUGCGAUAGGCACAUGUCACCCUAAGUGCCAUUCUACGUUGUAGCGAUAAAAGUUUGUUCCGAAGUGAUAUUGUGUCCAUUGCCUUUGCCCAUAUUGGUGCUCCGUAUAAAAUUACAGAGUGUCCCACUGUGCUCAACAUCUUUCUUUUCAUCGUUGACGGACCUCCAAUGUUAGGCAUUACUGACGACAAUGCAGAGAUCGUUUUUUCUGCUUUUAUAGCGCACUCUGUUAUGUGCCUUUUAAAGUUGAUAUUUCUUCCUAUCCACACGCCGAGGUAUUUUACUGCUUCUUUUGGCGUAACUAAAGUUCCCAUGAUAUUAAACUGUACGUCCGGAGGUUUUCUUCUGCAAUUUAGAAGUACUGCUUCUGUUUUAUCGGGUGCUAAUUUUAGCUUUUUGCUGUACAUCCAGUGUACAAUUUUGUCUAGAGUAUCAUUUGUUUUUUCUACUAAAUCCUCUAUGGUUUUUGCAGAUACAAUCACAGCCAAAUCAUCGGCAUAUCCCACGAGCUCGACAUCUUCCGCAACCGACAGUCUCAGGACACUGUCAUACAUUAUAUUCCAUAGCAGUGGUGCGAGCACCGACCCCUGUGGAACCCCGCUGUUUACUUCUAGUAGUUUACCAUGUUCGGUGAGUAUAAACCGGUUGUUCAGGUAUGUUCUAAUCAGAUCUAUGAGGGAUGUAGAUAUCCCUUUUAGUUUCAAUUCUUGAAGUAUAACCUGCCACGGUGCCGAAUUAAAUGCAUUUUUAACGUCUAGAGUUAUCAUAACGCAAGUUUUACGAUGUCUAUAUGUGACUAGUCUAGUUUUCUCUGCUAUCUGUAUGACUUUUUGAAUAGCGUGGGAUGUUGAUAGUCCUUUGCGGAAACCAAAUUGUUGUGUGGACAGACCGCCCAGUUUUUCAACUUCCUGCUCCAGUCUAUAGUGGAUAAGAUAUUCCAUUAAUUUGCCUGCCGAAUCCAAGAUACAAAUUGGUCUGUAUGAACCUGGUUCUUUGUUUGUUUUUCCAGGUUUAGGAAGAAGAAUUAGUCGUGCUGUUUUCCAGCAAUCCGGAAAGGAUUUUCUCCUUAGACAGGAAUACCAUCUGGUCCAGUGGCUUUACCAGGUUUCAGGCGUUUGGCGGCAAUUAGUAGUUCUUCCAGUGUGAAAUUUUUUAUGGGGUUCUUUAUUGGUUCGGGCCAUACUACUUCAGGAUGGCGCGGAAACAGAUGCACUACAACGUUUUCCAGUUCAUCCUCACCGUUUCCCCAGACGUCGUCAUCAAUUGAGGCACAUAAUUCCUGCCACUUUGAAUGUUUUGAGAUUUUUAUUUCCUUUCGUAGUUUAUCCCUUGCUAUUUUUAGUGUGUUUACCUUAGUUUCUAGGUUUUGUGACAAUGUUGUUUUAGGUCGAGCUCUUGUUACAGCUCGUCUGGCUUUGAUAGAUUCUUUCCGGAGUUGGGCAAUACGAUCGUUCCACCAGUAGCAGGGUCUUCGUUUUGGUGAAAAAGAUUUCUUUAACAUCGCAGCGUUGCAUGAUUUUUCAAGACUGUCUUUUAGUUGCUCGGGCGAGUUUAUACUGCCACACUUAUUAAACCUUUUUAGGAGUUUCGCCUUAUUCAAUGAUUUUAGGUUCCACGCUGGGGGUUGGUUUGAAUUAUACUGAUGGCUAUCUGGUAAAUUUGUUUCCCAUUUGAAAGAAAUGAUUUUGUGGUCGCUGAGGGAUUCUGUAUCCAUCGUUGUCCAUCCUUGUAUGUUAUUUGCGACGUUUUGAGAUACUAGUGUUAAGUCUAUGAUUGAUUUUGAUGUACCUCUUUCAAAUGUAUAGUAGUUUGGUUUGUUUUUGGUAAUAAAGUUUAGUUCUGCAA